rnacentral:rRNA from 3 species
CCUGGCGGCGAUAGCGCGGUGGUCCCACCUGACCCCAUGCCGAACUCAGAAGUGAAACGCCGUAGCG